UGGCUCUCGCAUCGAUGAAGAACGCAGCGAAAUGCGAUAAGUAAUGUGAAUUGCAGAAUUCAGUGAAUCAUCGAAUCUUUGAACGCACCUUGCGCUCCUUGGUAUUCCGAGGAGCAUGCCUGUUUGAGUGUCAUUAAAUUAUCAACCCUUGUUAACUUUUUAGUUAGUAAGUGGAUUGGAAGUGGGGGCAUGUUGGUUUCUUCAUUGAAAUGAACUCCCCUGAAAUGCAUUAGCUGGUUGCCUUGUGCAAACAUGUCUAUUGGUGUGAUAAUUAUCUACGCCGUGGGCUAUUUGCCGUUUAUAGCACUGCUUAUAAUCGUCUGUUCAUUCAGACAAUACAUGACAAUUUGACCUCAAAUCAGGUAGGACUACCCGCUGA
rnacentral:misc_RNA from 1 species